rnacentral:rRNA from 1 species
UACGGGGGGGGCAAGCGUUGUUCGGAAUUACUGGGCGUAAAGGGCUCGUAGGUGGCCAACUAAGUCAGACGUGAAAUCCCUCGGCUUAACCGGGGAACUGCGUCUGAUACUGGAUGGCUUGAGUUCGGGAGAGGGAUGCGGAAUUCCAGGUGUAGCGGUGAAAUGCGCAGAUAUCAGGAGGAACACCGAUUGCGAAGGCAGCUCGCUGGAACGUUACUGACGCUGAGACGCGAAAGCGUGGGGAGCAAACAGG